CGCCCCGUCAUUGGGGAGUAGCCGCCUUCGGUCAUCAGAAGGGGGCGCGUCAACAGACUAGGGCCUUUCGGCCCUUGGCGCGUCCGGCCCAAAAGCUUGGCGAGACCUUUGGCUUCGGAAUUCUUGCGUCCAGGGAUUGGGCGGGAUUCCGGGCCAUCGGUCAUGUUUCGCCCAAU
rnacentral:sRNA from 2 species